GACGAACGCUGGCGGCGUGCUUAACACAUGCAAGUCGAACGGAAAGGCCCUGCUUUUGUGGGGUGCUCGAGUGGCGAACGGGUGAGUAACACGUGAGUAACCUGCCCUUGAUUUUGGGAUAACUUCAGGAAACUGGGGCUAAUACCGGAUAGGAGCUCCUGCUGCAUGGUGGGGGUUGGAAAGUUUCGGCGGUUGGGGAUGGAUUCGCGGCUAAUCAGCUUGUUGGUGGGGUAGUGGCUUACCAAGGCUUUGACGGGUAGCCGGCCCGAGAGGGUGACCGGGCACCUUGGGACUGAGAGACGGCGCAGACUCCUACGGGAGGCAGAAGUGGGGAAUAUUGCACAAUGGGAGGAAGCCUGAUGCAGCAACGCCGCGUGCGGGAUGACGGCCUUCGGGUUGUAAACCGCUUUCGCCUGUGACGAAGCGUGAGUGACGGUAAUGGGUAAAGAAGCACCGGCUAACUACGUG
rnacentral:rRNA from 1 species